GAUGAACGCUAGCGGCAGGCUUAACACAUGCAAGUCGAGGGGUAUAGUUCUUCGGAAUUAGAGACCGGCGCACGGGUGCGUAACGCGUAUGCAAUCUACCUUUCACAAAGGGAUAGCCCCAGAGAAAUUUGGAUUAAUACCUUAUAGUAAUACGACUUGGCAUCAAGAUGUAUUUAAAGAUUUAUCGGUGAAAGAUGAGCAUGCGUCCCAUUAGCUUGUUGGUAAGGUAACGGCUUACCAAGGCAACGAUGGGUAGGGGUCCUGAGAGGGAGAUCCCCCACACUGGUACUGAGACACGGACCAGACUCCUACGGGAGGCAGCAGUGAGGAAUAUUGGACAAUGGGCGCAAGCCUGAUCCAGCCAUGCCGCGUGCAGGAAGAAGCAUCUAUGGUGUGUAAACUGCUUUUUGUACGGGAAGAAACACUCCUACGUGUAGGAGCUUGACGGUACCGUAAGAAUAAGGAUCGGCUAGCUCCGUGCCAGCAGCCGCGGUAA
rnacentral:rRNA from 1 species